GAUGAACGCUGGCGGCGUGCUUAACACGUGCAAGUCGAACGAUGAUCCCCGCUUGCGGGGGGAUUAGUGGCGAACGGGUGAGUAACACGUGGGUGACCUGCCCUCAGCUCUGGGAUAAGCCUGGGAAACUGGGUCUAAUACCGGAUAUGACUCCAUGACGCAUGUUGUGGGGUGGAAAGCCUUGUGCGGCUGAGGAUGGGCCCGCGGCCUAUCAGCUGUUGGUGGGGUGAUGGCCUACCAAGGCGACGACGGGUAGCCGGCCUGAGAGGGCGACCGGCCACACUGGGACUGAGACACGGCCCAGACUCCUACGGGAGGCAGCAGUGGGGAAUCUUGCGCAAUGGGCGAAAGCCUGACGCAGCGACGCCGCGUGAGGGAUGACGGCC
rnacentral:rRNA from 1 species